rnacentral:rRNA from 1 species
AGCGUACACGGUGGAUGCCCUGGCAGUCAGAGGCGAUGAAGGACGUGCUAAUCUGCGAUAAGCGUCGGUAAGGUGAUAUGAACCGUUAUAACCGGCGAUUUCCGAAUGGGGAAACCCAGUGUGUUUCGACACACUAUCAUUAACUGAAUCCAUAGGUUAAUGAGGCGAACCGGGGGAACUGAAACAUCUAAGUACCCCGAGGAAAAGAAAUCAACCGAGAUUCCCCCAGUAGCGGCGAGCGAACGGGGAGCAGCCCAGAGCCUGAAUCAGUGUGUGUGUUAGUGGAAGCGUCUGGAAAGGCGCGCGAUACAGGGUGACAGCCCCGUACACAAAAAUGCACAUGCUGUGAGCUCGAUGAGUAGGGCGGGACACGUGGUAUCCUGUCUGAAUAUGGGGGGACCAUCCUCCAAGGCUAAAUACUCCUGACUGACCGAUAGUGAACCAGUACCGUGAGGGAAAGGCGAAAAGAACCCCGGCGAGGGGAGUGAAAAAGAACCUGAAACCGUGUACGUACAAGCAGUGGGAGCACGCUUAGGCGUGUGACUGCGUACCUUUUGUAUAAUGGGUCAGCGACUUAUAUUCUGUAGCAAGGUUAACCGAAUAGGGGAGCCGAAGGGAAACCGAGUCUUAACUGGGCGUUAAGUUGCAGGGUAUAGACCCGAAACCCGGUGAUCUAGCCAUGGGCAGGUUGAAGGUUGGGUAACACUAACUGGAGGACCGAACCGACUAAUGUUGAAAAAUUAGCGGAUGACUUGUGGCUGGGGGUGAAAGGCCAAUCAAACCGGGAGAUAGCUGGUUCUCCCCGAAAGCUAUUUAGGUAGCGCCUCGUGAAUUCAUCUCCGGGGGUAGAGCACUGUUUCGGCAAGGGGGUCAUCCCGACUUACCAACCCGAUGCAAACUGCGAAUACCGGAGAAUGUUAUCACGGGAGACACACGGCGGGUGCUAACGUCCGUCGUGAAGAGGGAAACAACCCAGACCGCCAGCUAAGGUCCCAAAGUCAUGGUUAAGUGGGAAACGAUGUGGGAAGGCCCAGACAGCCAGGAUGUUGGCUUAGAAGCAGCCAUCAUUUAAAGAAAGCGUAAUAGCUCACUGGUCGAGUCGGCCUGCGCGGAAGAUGUAACGGGGCUAAACCAUGCACCGAAGCUGCGGCAGCGACGCUUAUGCGUUGUUGGGUAGGGGAGCGUUCUGUAAGCCUGUGAAGGUGUACUGUGAGGUAUGCUGGAGGUAUCAGAAGUGCGAAUGCUGACAUAAGUAACGAUAAAGCGGGUGAAAAGCCCGCUCGCCGGAAGACCAAGGGUUCCUGUCCAACGUUAAUCGGGGCAGGGUGAGUCGACCCCUAAGGCGAGGCCGAAAGGCGUAGUCGAUGGGAAACAGGUUAAUAUUCCUGUACUUGGUGUUACUGCGAAGGGGGGACGGAGAAGGCUAUGUUGGCCGGGCGACGGUUGUCCCGGUUUAAGCGUGUAGGCUGGUUUUCCAGGCAAAUCCGGAAAAUCAAGGCUGAGGCGUGAUGACGAGGCACUACGGUGCUGAAGCAACAAAUGCCCUGCUUCCAGGAAAAGCCUCUAAGCAUCAGGUAACAUCAAAUCGUACCCCAAACCGACACAGGUGGUCAGGUAGAGAAUACCAAGGCGCUUGAGAGAACUCGGGUGAAGGAACUAGGCAAAAUGGUGCCGUAACUUCGGGAGAAGGCACGCUGAUAUGUAGGUGAAGUCCCUUGCGGAUGGAGCUGAAAUCAGUCGAAGAUACCAGCUGGCUGCAACUGUUUAUUAAAAACACAGCACUGUGCAAACACGAAAGUGGACGUAUACGGUGUGACGCCUGCCCGGUGCCGGAAGGUUAAUUGAUGGGGUUAGCGGUAACGCGAAGCUCUUGAUCGAAGCCCCGGUAAACGGCGGCCGUAACUAUAACGGUCCUAAGGUAGCGAAAUUCCUUGUCGGGUAAGUUCCGACCUGCACGAAUGGCGUAAUGAUGGCCAGGCUGUCUCCACCCGAGACUCAGUGAAAUUGAACUCGCUGUGAAGAUGCAGUGUACCCGCGGCAAGACGGAAAGACCCCGUGAACCUUUACUAUAGCUUGACACUGAACAUUGAGCCUUGAUGUGUAGGAUAGGUGGGAGGCUUUGAAGUGUGGACGCCAGUCUGCAUGGAGCCGACCUUGAAAUACCACCCUUUAAUGUUUGAUGUUCUAACGUGGACCCGUAAUCCGGGUUGCGGACAGUGUCUGGUGGGUAGUUUGACUGGGGCGGUCUCCUCCUAAAGAGUAACGGAGGAGCACGAAGGUUGGCUAAUCCUGGUCGGACAUCAGGAGGUUAGUGCAAUGGCAUAAGCCAGCUUGACUGCGAGCGUGACGGCGCGAGCAGGUGCGAAAGCAGGUCAUAGUGAUCCGGUGGUUCUGAAUGGAAGGGCCAUCGCUCAACGGAUAAAAGGUACUCCGGGGAUAACAGGCUGAUACCGCCCAAGAGUUCAUAUCGACGGCGGUGUUUGGCACCUCGAUGUCGGCUCAUCACAUCCUGGGGCUGAAGUAGGUCCCAAGGGUAUGGCUGUUCGCCAUUUAAAGUGGUACGCGAGCUGGGUUUAGAACGUCGUGAGACAGUUCGGUCCCUAUCUGCCGUGGGCGCUGGAGAACUGAGGGGGGCUGCUCCUAGUACGAGAGGACCGGAGUGGACGCAUCACUGGUGUUCGGGUUGUCAUGCCAAUGGCACUGCCCGGUAGCUAAAUGCGGAAGAGAUAAGUGCUGAAAGCAUCUAAGCACGAAACUUGCCCCGAGAUGAGUUCUCCCUGACUCCUUGA